rnacentral:rRNA from 1 species
UACGAAGGGUGCAAACGUUGCUCGGAAUUAUUGGGCGUAAAGAGCUCGUAGGCGGCUUGUCGCGUCGGAUGUGAAAGCCCGGGGCUUAACUCCGGGUCUGCAUUCGAUACGGGCAGGCUAGAGUUCGGUAGGGGAGAUCGGAAUUCCUGGUGUAGCGGUGAAAUGCGCAGAUAUCAGGAGGGAACACCGGUGGCGAAGGCGGAUCUCUGGGCCGAUACUGACGCUGAGGAGCGAAAGCGUGGGGGAGCGAACAGG